GCCGGGCCGUGGGCAGCCGGCGGGGGCUGGGGCGGCUGCGGCGAGACAGCGCAUCAAAGGGGCCCAGGAACAGGCCUCCGAGGGGACCCCCAGGGAGGAGCAGCCGAGGGGUGCGGCCCCUACCUGGGCACUGCGGGCAGCACUCUCCCGGCAGCAGGACAGGCUCUGGACAGGGCAGCGGCACGCAGCGGCGGGCCAGGCACUGCACGUUGCCGCUCUACGGACCGACAGACGCACCACGGACUCACCCUGAAUUUUUUCUUGUGCAAGAUCCAAGAACCCUUUCUUGGGGUCUGGAUCAGGACUCCUUUCCUGUAACAUCUUUCUGGCGACCACUGAAGGGAUGAUAGUGCGGAAACCCCCGACCCAAAGGCUAAUUUUUGGUCACAAUUGGAGAAACUGGCUAUUUUACCAAGGCUUCGACUGGAAUGGCAUACCUUAAGGAAUCAUAUAUCAACUUUUGUUGGAACUCAGAGUUAUGAAUGGCCCUCGCCAUGCCGAUGCUUUCUGAUUAAGCACCUCUGUACCCUGAACACAAGAGAGAGAGACCCUAAUAGUUAGGCAGGAAUAUCAUUGCCCCUAUUCAGCCUGAAGAAAUUACAAAAGAUGGAUUUUUGUCCCUCUGCACCCCUUAGGAUCAAGGGUUCUCUUAUAAAAGGGAGAGGGAAAAUGUCAGAGGCAUUUGAACCAGAGCAACUCCAUCUUAAAUAGGAGCUGGAUAAAAAUGAGGCUGAGACCUACUGGGCUGCAUUCCCAGAUGGUUAGGCAUUCUAAGUCACAGGAUGAGAUAGGAGGUCAGCACAAGAUAUAGGUCAUAAAGACCUUGCUGAUAACACAGGUUGCAGUAAAGAAGCCAGCUAAAUGCCACCAAAACCAAGAUGGCGACGAGAGUGACCUCUGGUUGUCCUCACUGCUAUACUCCCACCAGGGCCAUGAUAGUUUACAAAUGCCAUGGCAAUGUCAGGAAGUUACCCUAUAUGGUCUAAAAAGGGGAGGCAUGAAUAAUCCACUCCUUUUUUAGCAUAUCAUCAAGAAAUAACCAUAAAAAUGGGCAACCAGCAGCCCUCAGGGCUGCUCUGUCUAUGGAGUAGCCAUUCUUUUAUUCCUCUACUUUCUUAAUAAACUGCUUUUGGCCGGGCGUGGUGGCUCACGCCUGUAAUCCCAGCACUGUGGGAGGCAGAGGGGGGCGGAUCACGAGGUCAGGAGAUCGAGACCAUCCUGGCUAACACAGUGAAACCCUGUCUCUACUAAAAAUACAAAAAAUUAGCCAGGCGUGUUGGCGGGCGCCUGUAGUCCCAGCUACUCGGGAUACGGAGGCAGGAGAAUGGCGUGAACCUGGAAGGCGGAGCUUGCCGUGAGCCAAGAUCACGCCACUGCACUCCAGCCUGGAUGACAGAGCAAGACUCCGCCUCAAAAAAAAAAAACACAUAAACUUGCUUUC
rnacentral:lncRNA from 10 species